UCUCACUUCUCACUUUCUACGUUGAACACGCCUGCCCUUUCUCAACUCAACCCGUUUCAGAAAAUUUUCCCACUCUCCGAUCUCUCACCCUCUUUGAUCUCUCUCAAAUCCCUAACCCUUUGCCGCCGUCGCCCCUCGCCAAGUUGGGCUCUAUUACCACCCUUAACCCUAGCCUCAUUACUGCUGCCGUCGUCGAGUUGGGUUUAUCGCCGCCGUUGCUGGCUUAAAGUUUAACCUGAAUCUCCACAUAUUGAUGAAUCUUUCCACUGAUCUUCUGCACUCUGUGCCUCUGGGUGUAAAGGAACCUUUUGAAGCAACCCAAGUUUGAGAACAAACAGUAAGACGAGCAGACAAGGUUGAUUUGCUGGUAAAUUAAGAAGGGUGAUUUGGGAUUUGCUCUACCAAAUUCUCAAAGACAAUUAAAGACACAUCUUCCUCUUCUUUCUUCUAUAUUUUGGUUGAUGGGGUGGUUGAAAAUGGAUAUAGGUGCUUCGACAAUAAUGCACAUAACAACUCAUUCAUCUAUGUAAUGAACUUAUGCAGUUGAAUAUCAAGGAUUCAUAUAAGUUUUUGUAUGUUUUA